rnacentral:rRNA from 1 species
UACAGAGGUCCCGAGCGUUGUUCGGAUUCAUUGGGCGUAAAGGGUGCGUAGGCGGCGGGGCAAGUCUGAUGUGAAAUCCCGGGGGCUCAACCCCGGAACUGCAUUGGAUACUGCCUUGCUUGAGUACUGGAGAGGGAACUGGAAUUUACGGUGUAGCAGUGAAAUGCGUAGAGAUCGUAAGGAAGGCCAGUGGCGAAGGCGAGUUCCUGGACAGUUACUGACGCUGAGGCACGAAGGCCAGGGGGAGCAAACGGG